rnacentral:rRNA from 1 species
UACGUAGGGCGCAAGCGUUAUCCGGAAUUAUUGGGCGUAAAGAGCUCGUAGGCGGUUUGUCGCGUCUGCCGUGAAAGUCCGGGGCUCAACUCCGGAUCUGCGGUGGGUACGGGCAGACUAGAGUGAUGUAGGGGAGACUGGAAUUCCUGGUGUAGCGGUGAAAUGCGCAGAUAUCAGGAGGAACACCGAUGGCGAAGGCAGCAAACUGGUCGUCAACUGACGCUGAGGCGCGAAAGCGUGGGUAGCAAACAGG